UGAGAUAUUCAAUUCAGAUGAUGAGAAUUGUCAAAGACGUGGCUUUUGGUUAAGAAAAAAAGAGAAAGAAUUUUAAGAUCCUUUGGCACUGACCCAGCAAACCAAUAAAGAAUUCUUCCUUCCUUCCACCUUUAGAAUUUAGUUUGCCAUUUCAAACCUGCUGAUUAAUCACAGUGUUCUCCUGGCAGCCGCCCAAGCCUGCUCCUCUGUGAGUGAAGCUGGAGCCCUCAGGCAGGAACGCCUUUAGCACCACGGACAGCGACCUACAGCUACCACUCCGGAGACAAGCCUUAUAAGGAACUCAGUUGCAGAAGGGCAGAAGUCUUAAAAGUCUUGGCCCAGGCCCCCAAAAAGCUGGUGGCAGAGCAUGAAAUAGAAUCCAGGUCUCCUGAUGCCUAAUUCAGUGCUUGUUGUAUUCCGCCUGGCCUUGAAUAAAUGGACUGGAACUUUUCGACGAACCAGGAAGUCACCAGAGGACAUGUGAGGCUUCCAUGUCUGCCAGUGAAAGCUUGGGCUUCACAUCCAGUCUCAUUUGGGUUUAGAUCCGGACUAUGCCCGUUAGAUCUGGACUCUGCCCUUGCCAUUUGAAUGUCCUGGGAAGUCACUGCACCUCUCCAAGCCUCAGUGCUGAUAGUAUCACCUCCCUACAGAGAAUUCAGUGACAUUAGGUAUAUCUCAUGCUCAGGAUAGCGAUGUGCACACUGCUGCUUAUUUCAAAAAGAGGAAAAUUCCCUUAGCCUUUCCCAUAGUGUGUUUCAAAUCAGAAGGGAAAGGAAUUGGUUUUCUGGAAUGUGUAAAAGAUGCUGAAACCAUAUUAUUGUUUAGAGCCUGCUUUGGACAUAAACCCAGUAAAAUUUCCGUAUAAAAUCUUGGCAUUUCCUAAAAGAUAUUAAGUCUCCAUUGGAUGUCUUAGAUCUCUCCAGUCUUGUUAAUUUGAGCUCAUCAAUGCACUAGUAACCCUUGCCUAACAUCUACUUGCUUCUGUCAUGCCAAAAGAUGCUGGGAGAAGAGGGGUGACAA
rnacentral:lncRNA from 10 species